AUUGAACGCUGGCGGCAUGCCUUACACAUGCAAGUCGAACGGCAGCAUGGGUGCUUGCACCUGAUGGCGAGUGGCGAACGGGUGAGUAAUGCAUCGGAACGUACCCGGAAGUGGGGGAUAACGUAGCGAAAGUUACGCUAAUACCGCAUAUUCUGUGAGCAGGAAAGCGGGGGAGUCGCAAGACCUCGCGCUUCCGGAGCGGCCGAUGUCGGAUUAGCUAGUUGGCGGGGUAAAGGCCCACCAAGGCAACGAUCCGUAGCGGGUCUGAGAGGAUGAUCCGCCACACUGGGACUGAGACACGGCCCAGACUCCUACGGGAGGCAGCAGUGGGGAAUUUUGGACAAUGGGGGCAACCCUGAUCCAGCCAUGCCGCGUGAGUGAAGAAGG
rnacentral:rRNA from 1 species